GCUGGGCGUGGUGGCGCACGCCUGUAAUCCCAGCUACUCGGGAGGCUGAGGCAGGAGAAUUGCUUGAACUCAGGAGGCGGAGGUUGCAGUGAGCUGAGAUCGCGCCACUGCAUUCCAGCCUGAGCAACAGAAUGAGACUCUGUCUCCA
ensembl:misc_RNA Metazoa_SRP Metazoan signal recognition particle RNA